rnacentral:rRNA from 1 species
UACGUAGGGUGCAAGCGUUAAUCGGAAUUACUGGGCGUAAAGCGUGCGCAGGCGGUUCGCUAAGACAGAUGUGAAAUCCCCGGGCUUAACCUGGGAACUGCAUUUGUGACUGGCGGGCUAGAGUAUGGCAGAGGGGGGGUAGAAUUCCACGUGUAGCAGUGAAAUGCGUAGAGAUGUGGAGGAAUACCGAUGGCGAAGGCAGC